AUUUACCGUUAGAAAAAUGUUGAAAAUUUUUAUGUGUUUUAUAAGUUCAGUUUGUUAUUUUUUUUUUAUAAGUCAAAUUUGACUUAUUUGCCAAAGUAAUCAAACAAAUUUUUUUUUCCGAUUAAACAGUUGUAUUUAACAAAUAGUACUUUCAAGUAAUAUUGUUUUCUUAAUGAAAGCAAUACUUAAACUUUUUCAAAUAUUGAGGGUAAACUUUUCAGCCAAAUUUCUUUAUUGUGGUUAAAAAUUUGUUAAUGGAAAGUAAGAAUUUAAUGCACAACUAUAUACUCAAUCUUUACUACACGUGUCUAUUUACAGACUCGAAUAUAGUGAGCAAUUAGAUGCAGUUUUCCCAUGGAGCAAUUAUUGUUAUUGAAAUAGAUUCUAUUUUCGAUUGCUUGUGGUGUCAUGUACUUCAAAGAUAAGGACGAAAGUAAAAAAAUGAUAUCUUAAAGGACACAGAAUUCUCCAUACUGCAAACUUUUUAGAACUCGGUCUAUUUUUACGGUUAUUUUUCACAUUUUCUGAAUGGAAAUUUAACUUGAAAGUAGGGAUCUCCGAGGGCUAUUUAGUUUGAAAGAAUCUUCCUGAAGCUGAAAAUUUGUUUUUAAGGUGCAACAGAAACAAACUCGGGAUGACGAGGACAAACAGAAAUAAUGUAAACAAUAAGGAACAGUGAACUCUGAUAAAAUCAUUAAUACAAUUUCGUAAAUCGAUUCGUUUGUGUUUAUUUAUC